GAUGAACGCUGGCGGCGUGCCUAAUACAUGCAAGUAGAACGCUGAAGGAGGAGCUUGCUCUUCUGGAUGAGUUGCGAACGGGUGAGUAACGCGUAGGUAACCUGCCUGGUAGCGGGGGAUAACUAUUGGAAACGAUAGCUAAUACCGCAUGACAACAGUUAUUGCAUGAUAACUGUUUAAAAGGGGCAACUGCUCCACUACCAGAUGGACCUGCGUUGUAUUAGCUAGUUGGUGAGGUAACGGCUCACCAAGGCGACGAUACAUAGCCGACCGGAGAGGGGGAGUGGCCAGCCUGGGAGUGUGACAGGGCCCAGACGCCUACGGGAGGCAGCAGUAGGGAAUCGUCGGCAAUGGGCGGAAGUCAGACCGAGCAACGCCGAGGGAGGGAAGAAGGUUUUCGGAUCGUAAAUCUCGGUUUUAAGGGAAGAACGAGUGUGAGAGUGUAAAGUACACACUGUGACGGUAACGGACCAGAAAGGAACGGCUAACUACGUG
rnacentral:rRNA from 1 species